GGGUGACGGAUCAGACUCACCAGCCGGCUAACAGCAUAAUGAACAAAGUUGCCACCAGGUCUGCAAAGUUUAAUCGAAAAAUUUACCAAUGAUGUGAUGACAUCGUCACAGAGAUCACAAGGGACACAGAGUCGACUUUUGCUCAAGGUGGAGCAGAGCUGUGGAGGCGAGAUGAGAAAUUCCGAGCCUGCUCAACCGAA
rnacentral:lncRNA from 1 species